rnacentral:lncRNA from 1 species
GGAGGGGGAAGAGGAGUCAGUCAAAUUCAAAUGUAGAAAAACGCUCAAGUAAAUUUCACUCCACUCUCGAGAUUUUGACAUGAGAACACCUUCCUCUGUCGCGUCGGAGGUCACCUCCGGUGGGGGCGGAGGGUUAAACCAUGAAAAUGAUACAUCACCUUCUUCUCCUUUUUCUCCUCUAUUUAACUCCAUCACUAAUUUCAGUCAAUUUGAACUCUAAAGCCUAAAUUGAAUCGUUUCUAUCUAUGAACCCUAAACUCCAAAAGCUAAAUUAAAUCGAAACCUAAUGAAAUCAAAGCCCAAAUUGUCGGGGCUUUGAUUCCCCAAUCCUUACACUACAUCUCUGUAACAAUUUUGAAGUGAAAAGAUGGAAUAGAAAUCUUACACUUCCGGAGAAGGUGAAGACGAAGAUGAAAUUCCGAUAAGUUCUUGUUGAAUCUCCUUCUUGCUUUUGAAUUCCAAAUCUUCUUCUUCUCCUUCUUCUUCUAUUGAGCUCUGUUGUUAUAUUAGUGACUUUUUCGAGAGUGAUUGAGGGAGGUUGAAGAUUGAAUGUGAUGGAGUGAUUGGAGAGUUUUGUGAGUUGAGAGGGUGGUUAUGUGAUUCGAGAGUGAGAAUGCUCAAUGAAUCGAGAUAGAGGGUGUGAGAAAUGAUUUUUUGAUGAUGGAAUCUGAAGUUGAUGAAUGAAGGUGAUGGUGAGAUUUUAUAGGGAAUGAAGGUUAACAUAGUUUGUUCUGUUAAUUUUGGUCAAAGCCAAUUCAGUUUGGAGUUUGUUAACUCUGUUAACUUGGAAUGGUGAGAAACGGUUAGGUUAGUUGCGAAUUUCGAUUUCGGUUAGGUUGGUUAGGAUUUGAAUCAUGUUAGCAGUUAGAUCAGUUAGUUAGUUGUUAGGUUUGGAAAGUUUUUUAGGAUGAAUUUUAGUUUGGGAUUGGUGAUGGUUAUCAUGGUUGUGAAAUGAAUGUGCAAUGAAUUACUGUUGGAAAAUCGAGCUGCUGGAAGUAAUAGUUUGUUUUCAUGUGGACUGCAUUUUUGAAUGGUUGAUUUGCUUGCUAAUAGUUCUGUUAAGACUUAUCUCAAUUAAGUAUGAUGGGAUGGGAUGAUUGAUAUGAUGAAUGGUCAGUUAAUUGGAUGUUGAGCUAAGCUUUGGUGUUAAUGUUAAUUUGCAAUGCCUUGGACUGUUUGUAAUUGCCAUGUCUUGCUAUUAUGAAUGUGAGUUGCUUGUAUAUGACUGUUAAUGGUAAAAUGCUUGGAUGUAUGCUUAGUGUGCAGCAUGUUAUGAACAUGCUUUAUUGUUGUUGCAUUGCUAUGUUAAUAUGUGAUGUUCUAUCAAUUGGAUAAAUGUAUGUAUUUUGGAUGCUUGGUGAAUGAAUUGAUUAUGUUAAUGUUUGAUGUGGAUGCAUGUUCUACCCAUGUAUGCAUUGUAAAUGUUCACAUGUUUUGAAAUGUUAUGGUUUGUGAAUGCUUUGAACCUAGAUAAUAUGUAUGAUAACUCAUUGCUUGGAAUGUUUUAUAGGGUAUUUGGUAAAAAUGAAGGGUUUGAACAAAGGCAUACAAGUGGCUUGCAUCAUGUGGCUUAUUCUUGAAGAAACAUGGGAGCAUGGUGAAGGAAACAUCUAGAACAUGUGAAUCCUUGAUGAUUCAAACAAGAUGACUUAUAGAGAAGUGAAAAUAGGAAUUAGGGUUUAUGAUGGGUAAAAUAGUUAGUUGACUUUGGUCGAUUGGUUGACCAAAAAGUUAAUAGUUGACCAAAAGUCAACUUAGGUAAAAAAAAUGUAUUUUUAUAUAGAAUGAUAUGUAAUGACUCAUGGUGUAAUGAUGUAAUGAUACUUUAAAUGCAAUGGAUUCCCCUUUAUUCAAAUGGACUUUGAAUGAAUCAUGACUUAAAAUGUGACCUAACUUUUUAAGUAGGCAUAAUUA